rnacentral:misc_RNA from 1 species
AGUGUAGUGCAGUAGUCAUUAAUAAACAUAGUAUAGUGUCGCGCGGCUGACACAGAUUCUCAGUGAACAAGGUGAACUAUGGCGGGAGACCGACAGUAUAGCUUUCAGACUGGACAGAAAAAUGAAUUCCAGGUUCUGGAUUACAUUCUGUUUGCAGGAUUACUGAUAUGUUCCGCGGGAAUCGGAUUAUUCUACGCCAUCAAGGAUAGGAAGAAGUCCAACACCAAGGACUUUCUGCUGGCCGGAGGGGACAUGAACCCUAUUCCCGUGGCCCUGUCCCUCCUGGCCAGCUUUAUGUCCGCUAUCACCCUACUUGGGACCCCUGCGGAGAUGUACAACUACACGACAAUAUAUUGGUGGAUAGGCCUGGGCUAUUUCUUCGUUAUCCUUGGUGCGGCCCACGUUUACAUGCCAGUAUUCUACCGGCUCCGCGUGACAAGCUCAUACGAGUACCUCGAGCUUCGAUUUGGAAAAACUUCCCGAACCAUUGGAGCCAUCAUUUACGUAGUUCAAAUGACGCUGUACAUGUCCAUUGUUCUCUACGCUCCCUCUUUGGCGCUCAAUGCUGUGACCGGGUUUACUCUCUGGGGCUCUAUAUGGGCGGUCGGCCUAGUAUGCAUAUUUUACACAACGAUUGGUGGUAUGAAGGCCGUGCUAUGGACGGACACUUUCCAGGUGGGCAUGAUGUUGGCCGGGCUCCUCGCGGUCCUUAUCCAGGGCAGUAUAGAAGUGGGCGGAUUCAGUAAAGCGUGGGAGCGUUCUGUCGCCACCGGCCGAAUCAACUUUGUAGAUUUUGACCCAGACCCGGCCAUCCGCCACAGUUUCUGGACCUGUGUGGUGGGAGGGUGUUUCACUUGGCUCAGUGUGUACGGUGCAAACCAAUCACAGAUUCAGCGCGCGAUCACGUGCUCCACCUUACGGAGAGCUCAGUUUUGAUCUUUUAGGGCUUACUGGUUGAACUGGCCGGGGCUCUGCAUCAUCUUGUACCUGUGUGCUAUGAUAGGUACAGUAAUAUACGCCUUCUACGAGACGUGUGACCCUAAAACAUACGGGCUUAUUACAGCUUCUGACCAGUUACUCCCGCUUUUUGUGUUGGACGUCCUGGGACACAUACCCGGAAUUCCUGGACUUUUUGUGUCCUGUCUCUUUUCAGGUGCUCUCAGUACUCUCUCUUCCGGACUAAACUCCAUCGCCGCUGUCCUGUUACAAGAUGUGCUCAGGGUGUUCUGUGUUGGGCGGAUAACUUCAGAAACCAUUGCUACGAACGCAUCUAAGAUCAUUGCUUUAAUAUUUGGCUUUAUCUGCCUUGGACUAACCUACGUGGCCUCACUCUUAGGAGGAGUGCUGCAGGCGGCGCUGGCGCUUUUCGGCGUGAUUGGCGGUCCCUUGUUGGGUGUUUUUACACUUGGAAUGAUGUUUCCAUGGGCUAAUGAAAAGGGUGCCGUAGUCGGUAUGUUGACGAGUCUGACCCUGAUGUUAUGGAUAAGUGUCGGUUACCAGAUACACAAACCUAAGGUAGCCACGUUUUCUCCCAUCUCUGUGGAGGGCUGUAACUGGAAUAUCUCAGACAAAUCUCCUCCCCCGCACCUCACCUCCUUCUACACCAACAGCCUCAACCAGAGCUCUACCCUGAUCAACUCAACCAUCACAGCUGCUGCUGAAAUGACGAAAGAGGACUCGUAUAACAUAAUGGACCGCUUCUACUCACUGUCGUACCUAUGGUACAGUGCCACGGCCAUGAUUGUAGUGAUUGGGGUUGGAAUGGCGGUCAGUGCUAUCACAGGAUUUGAGAAGCCUAGUGAAAUGGAUCCCAAACUGUUCUGUCCGAUAUUUGAUGUGUUCUGUCCAUUUCUACCGGAGAAGAUCAGAAAACCUCUUAGAUUUGGAGUACAGUACGAUAAGAUGAAGUCGUGUGGAGAAAUGGAGAUGGAUUUCCAGGAUAAAAUAGAUGGCAAAGAAGAGGAAGCAUCACCUCUACAAGGGAAAGUUGUAGCAGAGGUCAAUGGUGAUGGCUCUAAAGCCAUGUGACAAGAGAGAAACUCCUAGUCCACAUACACAUUACGGCAUAUUGUAAUAAAACUCUACAUGUUCAGUAUCGUUCAUCUCUCAUGGAAACCAGCAUUAAAUCAUCACUUAUUUCUAGGAUUCAUUACGCAAACAUAGAUUUCUAAGUAGAUACUGUACAUAAUCAGUCUCUUGUUCCCAUAAGUAGAGCGUGAGCAAUUGCAUAGUACAUAUGUACUGUAGAAAGCUUUGCACACUAAAUCAUUGCUAUUGUUGAACUUGUAAUACUUUUAAUGAUGAUUUUGAAUUUUGGAUGCCAAUAUAGUACUUUCUAUAGGUCACAGAAUUAUUAGGUUGUCAUGGUGUUCUGUUGGGCAACUAGCACCUUCGACUUUAGGGCAAGAUGCCAGGGUGCAAAGACGACAGUGCAAAAUUGCAAAGGCGAAGGAACGAAAUUGCAAAGAUGGGAUGGGGAAGUGUAAAGAUACGAAGGUGAAGAAGCGAUACUACUAUCACUCCUUUGCCUUUGCACUCUCACCUUUGCAACUUCGCCUUUUAUUGUGUGCAACUCUUUAACAUUUAAAGAGAAUUUUAGCUUUAAAAAAAUGCGUCUGCAGAAGAAGACAAGCUUUAGAGAAAAUAUUUUUAACAAUUUAACAAUCCAAACACCUUAUUGUGUAAUGAAUUUUAAGUGUAACUAUGUGUAAACCUUAUUGAAUUAAGGUAAGCAGACUGGCCAGGGUCUGAAGUCUGGAAGGGCACACACACUGACAGGCAUUACAUUUUAUAUGGAGUACAAGAUAAAUAAGCUUAGAUAGCAAUGGUAAAAAGAUGCCGGUAUGUCAGAUAACCCAGUAAAAUAUUGAUGAACUUUUAGUAAGCACGAUGGCCGUCACACUGUCUACUGCAUGCGUACCAAUAAAAUCCGAGACUAUGGCGACUUCAAUACCUCCAUCAAAUUAUGUGUAAUCAACAGACAGAGAGAAAGCAAUGCGAAGGUAGUAGUGUGGAAGGCAAAGGAAGGAUAGUAGUAUUGCUCCUUCACCUUCACACUUUUACCUUCGUGCUUAGCCAUCGCGUGUUCACACUUUUGCUCCUUUGCUUUCGCACUUUUUCCUUCGCACUCUCGAAUCCUCGCCCUAAAGGCGAAGUUGGAAGUGGCCUCAAUGAAAAACACCAUAGGUUGUAUAUUGCAAUUUAAGAACCUCAUCUUCUGUCCAUCUGAAGUUUUUGUUUAAUUUGUAGAUUAUCAUGAUGAAUCAUUGCAACUCAAAUGGCAAAAGAAGGUCAUGUUUGAUUUUUUACUUGUCAUCAUCAAACAAGUCAUACAUACUCCUCCAAUACUCAAUUCUUUAUAUAUCGGAGUUCAGUGCUCCUUUUAUCAUUUUACUAGUAUCAUUACUAUCAAAUCAAAUUUUUAACAUAACCAUAAAGAAAAAUCGUCAGACCUUCUUCUGUAUGAAUAAAUUGACUUAAAACAAU